rnacentral:rRNA from 1 species
UACAGAGGGGGCGAGCGUUGUUCGGAAUUACUGGGCGUAAAGGGCGCGUAGGCGGCCUUCUAAGUCGAACGUGAAAUCCCCGGGCUCAACCCGGGAACUGCGUCCGAUACUGGGAGGCUUGAAUCCGGGAGAGGGAUGUGGAAUUCCAGGUGUAGCGGUGAAAUGCGUAGAUAUCUGGAGGAACACCGGUGGCGAAGGCGGCAUCCUGGACCGGCAUUGACGCUGAGGAGCGAAAGCCAGGGGAGCAAACGGG